rnacentral:rRNA from 1 species
UACGGAGGGUGCGAGCGUUGUCCGGAUUUAUUGGGUUUAAAGGGUGCGUAGGCGGCCUGGUAAGUCGGCGGUGAAAGCCCGGGGCUCAACCCCGGAACUGCCAUCGAUACUGUCAGGCUUGAGUACGGGUGAGGCUGGCGGAAUGGGCGGUGUAGCGGUGAAAUGCAUAGAUACCGUCCAGAACCCCGAUUGCGAAGGCAGCUGGCUAAGCCGUAACUGACGCUGAGGCACGAAAGCGUGGGGAGCGAACAGG